rnacentral:rRNA from 1 species
AGGACGAACGCUGGCGGCGUGCCUAACACAUGCAAGUCGAACGGAGAAUUUCAAAGAGUUUACUUAGAGAAAUUUUUAGUGGCGGACGGGUGAGUAACGCGUGGGUAACCUACCCAUAAACCCGGGACAACCCUUGGAAACGAGGGCUAAUACCGGAUAAUCUUUGGACUUGGCAUCAAGUUUUAAGAAAAGGUGGCCUCUGUAUAUGCUACCGAUUAUGGAUGGACCCGCGUCUGAUUAGCUAGUUGGUGGGGUAAAGGCCUACCAAGGCAACGAUCAGUAGCCGGCCUGAGAGGGUGAACGGCACACUGGGACUGAGACACGGCCCAGACUCCUACGGGAGGCAGCAGUGGGGAAUCUUCCGCAAUGGACGAAAGUCUGACGGAGCAACGCCGCGUGUAUGAUGAAGGUCUUCGGAUUGUAAAGUACUGUCUUUGGGGAAGAAUGAUUGGUUUGAAAAUAUUGAGCCAAUAUGACGGUACCCAAGGAGGAAGCCCCGGCUAACUACGUGCCAGCAGCCGCGGUAAUACGUAGGGGGCAAGCGUUGUCCGGAAUUAUUGGGCGUAAAGGGCGCGUAGGCGGAUGUUUAAGUCCGGUGUGAAAGAUCAGGGCUCAACCCUGAGAGUGCAUCGGAAACUGGGCAUCUUGAGGACAGGAGAGGAAAGUGGAAUUCCUAGUGUAGCGGUGAAAUGCGUAGAUAUUAGGAGGAACACCAGUGGCGAAGGCGACUUUCUGGACUGUAACUGACGUUGAGGCGCGAAAGCGUGGGGAGCAAACAGGAUUAGAAUACCCUGGUAGUCCACGCUGUAAACGAUGAGUGCUAGGUGUAGAGGGUAUCGACCCCUUCUGUGCCGCAGUUAACACAAUAAGCACUCCGCCUGGGGAGUACGGCCGCAAGGUUG